ensembl:ncRNA C48D5.9 ncRNA
CUCUCUCUCUCUCUCUCUCUCUCUCUCUCUCUCUCUCUCUCUCUCUCUCUCUCUCUCUCUCUCUCUCUCUCUCUCUCUCUCUUCUCGUAAGUGUAGGCGGACCUGGGACUGCCAUCCGAGUGACCCCCCACCCCUCGUCAUUUCUCCCACAUCGAUGUCGGUGGCAUUC